rnacentral:tRNA from 1 species
CAGAACAUAGCUUAACCUAAAGCCCCUCGUUUACACCGAACUGCUGUCUUCUAAACUAGACUGUUCUGAG